GCAGCCAAAGCUCAAAUUUGAAAGCUCCUAACAAGGCGCAUUGUAAUUUGAAGAUGGUAUUCCGAGUUAGUCCUUUACCUCAGUUCCUUGGAACAGGACGCCAUACAGGGUGAGAGCCCCGUGUGGUAUUGGUAGCUUUCUCAUGUGGUUUACCUUCGAAGAGUCGAGUUGUUUGGGAAUGCAGCUCUAAGUGGGUGGUAAAUUCCAUCUAAAGCUAAAUAUUGGCGAGAGACCGAUAGCGAACAAGUACUGUGAAGGAAAGAUGAAAAGAACUUUGAAAAGAGAGUGAAAAAGUACGUGAAAUUGUUGAAAGGGAAGGGAAUUGGACUAGACUUGGAUUUCUGUUAUCAUCAGUCUUUCGGGGCUGUGCACUAGCAGUUUUCUAGGCCAGGAUCUGUUUGGAGGCCAGGAUAAAACCCAAAGAAUGUGGCUCUUCGGAGUGUUAUAGCUUUGGUUGAAUACUGGCAUUCUGGACAGAGGACCGCGCU
rnacentral:rRNA from 1 species